rnacentral:rRNA from 1 species
AACGAACGCUGGCGGCAUGCCUAACACAUGCAAGUCGAACGAUGCCUUCGGGCAUAGUGGCGCACGGGUGCGUAACGCGUGGGAAUCUGCCUUUCGGUUCGGAAUAACUCAGGGAAACUUGAGCUAAUACCGGAUAACGUCGCAAGACCAAAGAUUUAUCACCGAAAGAUGAGCCCACGUAGGAUUAGCUAGUUGGCGAGGUAAAGGCUCACCAAGGCGACGAUCCUUAGCUGGUCUGAGAGGAUGAUCAGCCACACUGGGACUGAGACACGGCCCAGACUCCUACGGGAGGCAGCAGUGGGGAAUAUUGGACAAUGGGCGAAAGCCUGAUCCAGCAAUGCCGCGUGAGUGAUGAAGGCCUUAGGGUUGUAAAGCUCUUUUACCCGGGAAGAUAAUGACGGUACCGGGAGAAUAAGCCCCGGCUAACUCCGUG